rnacentral:rRNA from 1 species
UUCGCAAUGCCCGAAAGGGUGACGAAGCGACGCCGCGUGGGUGAGGAAGGCCUUCGGGUUGUAAAGCCCUGUCAGGAGUUAAGAAAUAUAAGUGCGCUAAUAUCGCAUUUAUUUGACGAAGGCUCCAAAGGAAGCCACGGCUAACUCUGUGCCAGCAGCCGCGGUAAUACAGAGGUGGCAAGCGUUGUUCGGAAUUAUUGGGCGUAAAGAGCACGUAGGUGGGUUUGUAAGUCAGAUGUGAAAGCCUUCUGCUCAACGGAAGAAUUGCAUCUGAAACUACAAGUCUUGAGUGUAGGAGGGGAGAAUGGAACUUCUGGUGGAGCGGUGAAAUGCGUAGAUAUCAGAAGGAACGCCGGCGGCGAAAGCGAUUCUCUGGCCUAUUACUGACACUCAGUGUGCGAAAGCUAGGGGAGCAAACGGGAUCAGAUACCCCGGUAGUCCUAGCUGUAAACGAUGGGCACUAAGUAGAGGGGUUUU